rnacentral:rRNA from 1 species
ACUGAAUAGAUACCCAGGUAGUCCCAGCCGUAAACGAUGCUCGCUAGGUGUCAGGCAUGGCGCGACCGUGUCUGGUGCCGCAGGGAAGCCGUGAAGCGAGCCACCUGGGAAGUACGGCCGCAAGGCUGAAACUUAAAGGAAUUGGCGGGGAGCACAACAACGGGUGGAGCCUGCGGUUUAAUUGGACUCAACGCCGGACAACUCACCGGGGGUCGACAGCAAUAUGUAGGCCAAGCUGAAGACUUUGCCUGAAUCGCUGAGAGGAGGUGCAUGGCCGUCGCCAGUUCGUACUGUGAAGCAUCCUGUUAAGUUCAGGCAACGAGCGAGACCCGUGCCCACUGUUACCAGCAUGUCCUCCGGGUACGAUGGGUACUCUGUGGGGUACCGCCUAUGUUAAACUAGGAGGAAGGUGCGGGCCACGGUAGGUCAGUAUG